CCUACGUGAGGCAGCAGUGGGGAAUAUUGCACAAUGGGCGCAACCCUGAUGCAGCUACGCCGCGUGUGUGAUGAAGUACUUCGGUAUGUAAAGCCCUAUCAUCAGGGAAGAAAAUGACGGUACCUGACUAAAACGCCCCUGCUAACUAAGUGCCAGCAGCCGCGGUAAUACGUAGGGUGCAAGCGUUAUCCGGAUUUACUGGUGGUAAAGGGAGCGUAGACGGCGUGCCAAGAAUGAUGUGCAAGCCCCGGGCUCAACCCAGGGACUGAAUUGGAAACUGGUAUGCUGGAGUGCGGGAGAGGUAGGCGGAAUUCCAAGUGUAGCAGUGAAAUGCGUAGAUAUGAGGAGGAACACCGGUGGCGAAGGCGGCUUGCUGGAAGGUAACUGACGUUGAGGCUCGAAAGCGUGGGGAGCAAACAGGAUUAGAUACCCCUGUAGUC
rnacentral:rRNA from 1 species